AGCCAGACUCCUACGGGAGGCAGCAGUGGGGGAUAUUGCACAAUGGGGGAAACCCUGAUGCAGCGACGCCGCGUGAGUGAAGAAGUAUUUCGGUAUGUAAAGCUCUAUCAGCAGGGAAGAAAAAAGACGGUACCUGACUAAGAAGCCCCGGCUAACUACGUGCCAGCAGCCGCGGUAAUACGUAGGGGGCAAGCGUUAUCCGGAAUUACUGGGUGUAAAGGGUGAGUAGGCGGCAUGGUAAGCCAGAUGUGAAAGCCUUGGGCUUAACCCAAGGAUUGCAUUUGGAACUAUCAAGCUAGAGUACAGGAGAGGUAAGCGGAAUUCCUAGUGUAGCGGUGAAAUGCGUAGAUAUUAGGAGGAACACCAGCGGCGAAGGCGGCUUACUGGACCGUGACUGACGUUGAGGCUCGAAAGCGUGGGGAGCAAACAGGAUUAGAUACCCCUGUAGA
rnacentral:rRNA from 1 species